ACGCUAAUCCAGCGCCAAUAUCGUCUGCAUAGCUCCAACGUGACGUAUAUGCGCAGAACGAGAAAAAAAUGUCCGCGGAUGCCUGUAUAAUACUCAGGCCAUUGUUUAUUUAUCAGGUCAUUGUUUCUUGUUGAUGCAAGGAAAUGAUUUGGAAGUCAUGUGACAGGAGUGAGGAUUAUUGUGUGUAUGAAUUUAUGCUUGUUGUUUUGUCAGAAUAAUGGAUAUGCAUAUGAGCUUUUGGUUUGGCUCUUCGCUGGAACCAUUUCUUUUUAACGGCUAUGAUAUUUCGUCUUCAAUAGGUUUGAUAUUUACAUGCCUGGGCUUGAUGUCGUUGGGCAUUUUGUUUGAAGGCCUAAAACUGAAAGUUCAGAAACUAGCAGUGGAGCAGCGAUCUGAACUACAACUCAACCUUCAUGGCAGUGUGUGCCCCAAUGAAUGUGAUUCAUUACUUAAUGACGAA